UGGUGGAGCGAUUUGUCUGGUUAAUUCCGAUAACGAACGAGACUCUAGCCUACUAAAUAGACUCCUGGCUCUUGUUAAGGCGCCAGGAGGACUUCUUAGAGGGACAGGCGGCUUUCAGCCGCACGAAACAGAGCAAUAACA
rnacentral:rRNA from 1 species